rnacentral:rRNA from 1 species
ACCGAGAUUCCCCCAGUAGCGGCGAGCGAACGGGGAGGAGCCCAGAGCCUGAAUCAGCAUGUGUGUUAGUGGAAGCGUCUGGAAAGGCGCGCGAUACAGGGUGACAGCCCCGUACACAAAAGCGCAUGUGCUGUGAGCUCGAUGAGUAGGGCGGGACACGUGGUAUCCUGUCUGAAUAUGGGGGGACCAUCCUCCAAGGCUAAAUACUCCUGACUGACCGAUAGUGAACCAGUACCGUGAGGGAAAGGCGAAAAGAACCCCGGCGAGGGGAGUGAAAAAGAACCUGAAACCGUGUACGUACAAGCAGUGGGAGCACAGGUUUACCUGUGUGACUGCGUACCUUUUGUAUAAUGGGUCAGCGACUUAUAUUCUGUAGCAAGGUUAACCGAAUAGGGGAGCCGUAGGGAAACCGAGUCUUAACCGGGCGUUAAGUUGCAGGGUAUAGACCCGAAACCCGGUGAUCUAGCCAUGGGCAGGUUGAAGGUUGGGUAACACUAACUGGAGGACCGAACCGACUAAUGUUGAAAAAUUAGCGGAUGACCUGUGGCU